rnacentral:rRNA from 1 species
AUACGGAGGAUGCGAGCGUUAUCCGGAUUUAUUGGGUUUAAAGGGAGCGUAGGCGGGAGCUUAAGUCAGCGGUUAAAUGGUGCGGCUCAACCGUGCCCUGCCGUUGAAACUGGGUUUCUUGAGAGUGCAAGAGGCGGAUGGAAUUCAUGGUGUAGCGGUGAAAUGCUUAGAUAUCAUGAAGAACUCCGAUUGCGAAGGCAGUCCGCUGGGGCACGUCUGACGCUGAUGCUCGAAGGUGCGGGAAUCAAACAGGAUUAGAUACCCUGGUAGUCCGCACGGUAAACGAUGAUUACCCGCUGUCGGCGGUAGACAGUCGGCGGCCAAGCGAAAGCGAUAAGUAUCCACCUGGGGAGUACGCCGGCAACGGUGAAACUCAAAUGAAUUGACGGGG